GAUAGUAUCACUCCCGGAUAGUAAUGAACCGCAAAAUUAAGCUUGCUUGGGCGAAAGUAGUACAAGCAUGGGUGACCUCCUGGGAAGUCCUCUUAUUGCAUUCU
rnacentral:rRNA from 1 species